AGAAGAUGAUGAUGACACCUUCUUAGAAGAUCCUUAAAUAUCUCUCAUGCAUCAUAUAAUGUCUCAAGCUCAAAUUGAGCAGAAGAAGAGAUAUCAUUCCUUAACUU
rfam:Gossypium hirsutum cultivar TM-1 chromosome 5, whole genome shotgun sequence